rnacentral:lncRNA from 1 species
CACAUGGCAGAUUCGGGUGUUAGUCCUAUGUCUUCUAACUUUAUAACAGUAUACUGGUUUUUUUCAUGUUUUUAUUAAAAUGUUUUCUUAAGUCCUUAGCCAAAGAUUUUUGUUUGACAAGUCAAAAAUACGGUCUUGUUUACUUUACUUUUUUAUAUUCAAGAUUUAACUCAGAGUAAGACCAAAUUAUGAUUGUAGUUAAUUUUAUAGAUAUAAAUAUAUAAAUAAUUUUUUUAAUUGUUUAUGUUUUUUAAAAUUUCUAUUAAAAGUAAAAGUAGAUGGCUGGGCGUGGUAGCUCACACCUGUAAUCCCAGCACUUUGGGAGGCCGAGGCAGGCGGAUCAGGAGGUCAGGAGAUCGAGAUUAUCAUGGCUAACACAGUGAAACCCUGUCUCUACUAAAAAUAGAAAAAAAUUAGCCGGGCAUGGUGGCGGGCGCCUAUAGUCCCAGUUACUUGGGAGGCUGAAGCAGGAGAAUGGCGUGAACCCAGGAGGCGGAGCUUGCAGUGAACCGAGAUCACACCACUGCACUCCAGACUAGGUGAGAGAGGGAGACUCCCUCUCAACAACAAAAAAAAGAAAAGAAAAGCAGAGCAUGAGCCACCACCCCUGGCCUAAUUUAAUUAAAAUCUGAACAAAAGGCAGGGCAUGGUGGCUCAUGCCUGUAAUCUCAGGCCAAGGCACGUGGAUCGUGUGAGGUCAGGAGUUCGAGACCAUCCUAGGCAAUGUGGUGAAACUCUGUCUCUACUAAAAGUAAAAAAUUAGCCAGGUGUGAUGGCAGGCACCUGUAAUCCCAGCUACUUGGGAGGCUGAGGCAGGAGAAUCACUUGAACCCAGGAGUCGGAGGUUGCAGUGAGUGGAGAUCGCACCACUGCACUCCAGCUUAGGCAACAGAGCGAGACUCCAUCUCAACAGCAAUAACAACAAAAAUCUGAACAAAAAUGCUCAUUUAUGUUCUUCUCCUUAUCUGUGGUGUUUUAAAGUCAUUAAACUUAUGAUUAAAAGUCAUUAAAUGAUGUUUAGGAGAAGAUGAGUAUAUUUGUGUAGUGUAUCAUAACUCUGAUGUUAUUUUAUACAAGGAGUGUCUUAGAGUUUUCAGUUGUAACCAUGCAGAAAAUCUACAAAAUAAAAGCAGUUGUUAAUUAGUCCUUUACAAUCAGAAUUGUCUAUUUUGGAAAUUUAUGAAGUACUUCAGAUUUAAUUUAAGAAAUUGUAUUUGAGCCAGGUACGGUGGCUCACACCUGUUAUCCCAGCAUUUUAGGAGCCUGAGGCAGGUGGAUCACGAGGUCAAGAGUUCGAGACCAGCCUGACCAACAUGGCAAAACCCCAUCUCAACUAAAAAUACAAAAAUUAGCUGGGUGUGGUGUGGCGUGCGCCUAUAAUCCCAGCUACUCAGGAGGCUGAGUCAGGAGAAUCACCUUAACCCAGGAGGCGGAGGUUGCAGUGAGCCGAGAUCACACCACUGUACUCACUGCACUCCAGCCUGGGUGACAGAGUGAGACUCUGUCUCAACAACAGCAAAAAAAGAAAUUGUAUUCGAAAGGUAAAGAACCUUUUUGUUUAAAUUCUAAUUUGAAGAUAAAAUAUUAUAUAAAAAUUCUCAGUUUUUAUCCAGCAACAUUUUGUUCCCAAUAUACGAUACAUAGUGGAUAGAACUAAAUGCCAGCAUUUACAUGGAAACACUGUCUUGGUGCUUUUAAAAAUCAUUUAUCAAGCUCUUAACUUGUUUUCUUUAUUUCCUUUCAACCAUUGCAUGAAAGACUUCACCAAAUAUAUAAUUUUUGAUUCCACUAAAAAUAUUCCAGGACCUAACACAAAUGCUUAGAAUAUUUAUUGAAUGAGACCAGGCGCAGUGGCUCAUGCCUGUAAUCUCCCAGGACUCUGGGAGGCCCAGGCGGGCAGAUCACGAGGUCAGGAGAUCGAGACCAUCCUGGCUAACACAGUGAAAACCUUGUCUCUACUAAAAAAUACAAAAAAUUAGCCAGGCAUGGUGGUGGGCGCCUGUAGUCCCAGCUACUCGGGAGGCUGAGGCAGUAGAAUGGCGUGAACCUGGGAGGUGGAGCUUGCAGUGAGCCAAGAUCGCGCCACUGCACUCCAGCCUGGGCGAUAAAGGAAGACUCUGUCUCAAAAAAAAAAAAAA